CUAGUCCUGAGGUGUUUGCGAGUCUCGAGUCCUUGAGCCGAUAAUGUAAACCCCGGAGGCUUUUUGUACAAGUUGGUGUGCAUGUCCGCGCUGCGGAAAGCCUAAUAUUUGUCAAAAGCCACCACCUUGAACCUUACGGUUCAAGGCCCAGUUGACCGCGGCAUACUUGGGACACUU
rnacentral:other from 1 species